rnacentral:rRNA from 1 species
GCCUGAUCAGCCAUACCGCGUGGGUGAAGAAGGCCUUCGGGUUGUAAAGCCCUUUUGUUGGGAAAGAAAUCCUGCCGGUUAAUAACCAGUAGGGAUGACGGUACCCAAAGAAUAAGCACCGGCUAACUUCGUGCCAGCAGCCGCGGUAAUACGAAGGGUGCAAGCGUUACUCGGAAUUACUGGGCGUAAAGCGUGCGUAGGUGGUUGUUUAAGUCUGUCGUGAAAGCCCUGGGCUCAACCUGGGAAUUGCGAUGGAUACUGGGCGACUAGAGUGUGGUAGAGGAUAGUGGAAUUUCCGGUGUAGCAGUGAAAUGCGUAGAGAUCGGAAGGAACAUCUGUGGCGAAGGCGACUAUCUGGGCCAACACUGACACUGAGGCACGAAAGCGUGGGGAGCAAACAGGAUUAGAUACCCUGGUAGUCCACGCCCUAAACGAUGCGAACUGGAUGUUGGGCACAACUUGGUGCCCAGUAUCGAAGCUAACGCGUUAAGUUCGCCGCCUGGGGAGUACGGUCGCAAGACUGAAACUCAAAGGAAUUGACGGGGGCCCGCACAAGCGGUGGAGUAUGUGGUUUAAUUCGAUGCAACGCGAAGAACCUUACCUGGUCUUGACAUCCACGGAAACUUUCCAGA